rnacentral:ncRNA from 1 species
UUUAACGUUAAUUUAUAAAAUUUUAAAUGGCAAAUGUAAUUUUUAAUAURAAUAUUAKAWUAAAWANNNNNNNNWAUWUUAAAUAUAAAUURUARUAUUUAAUUUUAAUUAUUUUAAUAAUAAUUAUUUUUUAUUUGUAGUAAUUAAUAUUAAAAAUUUAAGAAAUUAAGAUUUAGUAAUAUAAAAAUUAAUAACUAAUUUUGUGCCAGCAGUUGCGGUUAUACAAAAAUUAAAUUAAAUUUUAUUAGUAAUUAAUUAAUAUAGAGUAAUUAAUUAAAAUAUUAAAUUAUUAGGUGAAAUUUUAAUUUAAUUAAAAUUUUAAGUUAAAAUAUGAAUUAAUAAAUUUUAUUAUAAACUAGGAUUAGAUACCCUAUUAUUAAAAAAUUAAAUACAUAAUACUAAAAUAGUAGAUAAUUAUUUAUUGAAACUUAAAUAAUUUGGCGGUAUUUUAGUUCAUUUAGAGGAAUCUGUUUAUUAAUCGAUAAUCCACGAAUAAUUUUACUUAAUUAAWAAUUUUGUAUAUCGUUGUUAAAAAAAUAUUUUUAAAUAAUUUUAAUAUUUUAAAAUUUUUAAUAAAAAUUAAAUCAGAUCAAGAUGCAGAUUAUAGUUAAGAAUAUAAUGGAUUACAAUAAAUUUAUUUAAAUGAAUUUUUAAUUGAAAUAUUAAAUUGAAAGUGGAUUUAAAUGUAAUUUUAAUUAAUUUAUUAAAAUGAUUAAAAAUUAAAAUAUGUACAUAUUGCCCGUCGCUUUCAUUUAUAAAUUGAAAUAAGUCGUAACAAAGUAGAGGUACUGGAAAGUGUUUCUAGAAAGAACAAA